AUUGAACGCUGGCGGCAGGCUUAACACAUACAAGUCGAGCGGAGCGAGGGUGCUUGCACCUUAGCUUAGCGGCGGACGGGUGAGUAAUGCUUAGGAGUCUGCCUAUUAGUGGGGGACAACAUUCCGAAAGGAAUGCUAAUACCGCAUACGCGCUACGGGGGAAAGCAGGGGAUCUUCGGACCUUGCGCUAAUAGAUGAGCCUAAGUCGGAUUAGCUAGUUGGUGGGGUAAAGGCCUACCAAGGCGACGAUCUGUAGCGGGUCUGAGAGGAUGAUCCGCCACACUGGGACUGAGACACGGCCCAGACUCCUACGGGAGGCAGCAGUGGGGAAUAUUGGACAAUGGGCGGAAGCCUGAUCCAGCCAUGCCGCGUGUGUGAAGAAGGCCUUUUGGUUGUAAAGCACUUUAAGCGAGGAGGAGGCUACUUAGAUUAAUACUCUGGGAUAGUGGACGUUACUCGCAGAAUAAGCACCGGCUAACUCUGUGCCAGCCGCCGCGGUAA
rnacentral:rRNA from 1 species